UUAAUUGAAGAGUUUGAUCAUGGCUCAGAUUGAACGCUGGCGGCAGGCCUAACACAUGCAAGUCGAGCGGUAACAGGGGAAGCUUGCUUCUCGCUGACGAGCGGCGGACGGGUGAGUAAUGUAUGGGGAUCUGCCCGAUAGAGGGGGAUAACCACUGGAAACGGUGGCUAAUACCGCAUAAUCUCUUAGGAGCAAAGCAGGGGAACUUCGGUCCUUGCGCUAUCGGAUGAACCCAUAUGGGAUUAGCUAGUAGGUGGGGUAAUGGCUCACCUAGGCGACGAUCCCUAGCUGGUCUGAGAGGAUGAUCAGCCACACUGGGACUGAGACACGGCCCAGACUCCUACGGGA
rnacentral:rRNA from 1 species